rnacentral:rRNA from 1 species
AAGCGUGCGCAGGCGGUUUUGUAAGACUGUCGUGAAAUCCCCGGGCUCAACCUGGGAAUGGCGAUGGUGACUGCAAGGCUAGAGUUUGGCAGAGGGGGGUAGAAUUCCACGUGUAGCAGUGAAAUGCGUAGAUAUGUGGAGGAACCACCGAUGGCGAAGGCAGCCCCCUGGGUCAAAACUGACGCUCAUGCACGAAAGCGUGGGGAGCAAACAGGAUUAGAUACCCCUGU